rnacentral:sRNA from 2 species
UAAAAAGUUUUCUAGGGUUCCGUGGCUAUUUGCCAGUCUGGUCCGAGAGGAAACGCACCAUCUAAGAAAACGGUUGUGUAGGUAUGCCGAUGAAGUCAAAAAAGGACUUCACCGUCAGACCUGUAAGCUGCUUCCGCUUUUCGGUGUACACGGAAGGAUAAAAGCCUGGGAGAU